UUUUUUUUUUUGCGGUCUGUGCAAUAGGGGAUAUUUAGUAUUGAUAUUGAAGUGUAGUUCUUUAUAGUACAAUAACGGUUAAGUUGUCAUCUGGUAAACAGUUAAGUAAAGGCGGCUUAGUCAUAUGUAUCAACUCGAAAACGAGACAAUUUGUAGCUCAGACUGUUAUUGCACACUGAAAGGGUCGUAUAAAAUACAUAUUUUUUUUUUGUAUGCAGUCACCACCUACAUUCCAUUGAAAUAAAGCCGUAUCGCGUUAAAUAAACGUACCCAAUUAUUGCCGUUUAAUAUUGUUAUUAACAUUUUAUAGUUGUUUUUAAUGUUUUGGUCUAAAGGUUCUUUCCGAAUUACGAGUUAACUCUAGUAGCAUUACGUGCCAAUUAACCUUAACAACGUUAUAUUGGUUGUUGGCAAUAUUAUUUGUUAAUAGUAUGCCAGCAAUAAUUUUCAAAUUACUUAUCAAAUCGUAAUACAAUGAACAGCGGUUAUUUAUAUUUUCAGAUUGAAUCUAAUUUAUGCGUAGUCGACGGUCAAUUAAGGACAUUUUAAAAUUACUAUUUACCUGUGUAUCGUAAAUUGUGUCUGUUUUAUUGGACGUGUG